rnacentral:rRNA from 1 species
AGCGUAGACGGCUGUGCAAGUCUGAAGUGAAAGGCAUAGGCUCAACCUGUGGACUGCUUUGGAAACUGUGCAGCUAGAGUGUCGGAGAGGUAAGUGGAAUUCCUAGUGUAGCGGUGAAAUGCGUAGAUAUUAGGAGGAACACCAGUGGCGAAGGCGGCUUACUGGACGAUGACUGACGUUGAGGCUCGAAAGCGUGGGAGCAAACA